UACAGAGGGGGCAAGCGUUGUUCGGAAUUACUGGGCGUAAAGGGCGCGUAGGCGGCCUUCUAAGUCGAACGUGAAAUCCCCGGGCUCAACCCGGGAACUGCGUCCGAUACUGGAAGGCUUGAAUCCGGGAGAGGGAUGCGGAAUUCCAGGUGUAGCGGUGAAAUGCGUAGAUAUCGGAAGGAACACCGGUGGCGAAGGCGGCACGCUGGGCCUCUCCUGACGCUGAGGCGCGAAAGCCAGGGGAGCGAACGGG
rnacentral:rRNA from 1 species